AUUGUGUGAAUACAUAGCACAUUCGAGGUAGACGCAGAGAACUGAAACAUCUAAGUACCUGCAGGAAGAGAAAGAAAAUUCGAUUCCCUGAGUAGCGGCGAGCGAAACGGGAAAAGCCCAAACCAGCAAGCUUGCUUGUUGGGGUUGUAGGACUCCAAUAUGGUAGUUCUUUCAGAUAGUCGAAUGACUUGGAAAAGUCAGUCAAAGAGGGUAAAAACCCCGUAGACGAAAUGUGGAAGACACCUAGGAGGAUCCUGAGUACGGCGGAACACGAGAAAUUCCGUCGGAAUCCGGGAGGACCAUCUCCCAAGGCUAAAUACUCCCUAGUGACCGAUAGUGAACCAGUACCGUGAGGGAAAGGUGAAAAGCACCCCGGAAGGGGAGUGAAAUAGAACCUGAAACCGUGUGCCUACAACAAGUCAAAGCCCGUUAAUGGGUGAUGGCGUGCCUUUUGUAGAAUGAACCGGCGAGUUACGAUUGCAUGCGAGGUUAAGUUGAAGAGACGGAGCCGCAGCGAAAGCGAGUCUGAAUAGGGCGUUUGAGUAUGUAGUCGUAGACCCGAAACCAUGUGAUCUACCCAUGUCCAGGUUGAAGGUGCGGUAAAACGCACUGGAGGACCGAACCCACGUACGUUGAAAAGUGCGGGGAUGAGGUGUGGGUAGCGGAGAAAUUCCAAACGAACUUGGAGAUAGCUGGUUCUCUCCGAAAUAGCUUUAGGGCUAGCCUCGGAAUUGAGAAUGAUGGAGGUAGAGCACUGUUUGGACUAGGGGCCCAUCUCGGGUUACCGAAUUCAGAUAAACUCCGAAUGCCAUUCAUUCAUAUCCGGGAGUCAGACUGUGAGUGAUAAGAUCCAUAGUCGAAAGGGAAACAGCCCAGACCACCAGCUAAGGUCCCAAAAUAUAUGUUAAGUGGAAAAGGAUGUGGGGUUGCACAGACAACUAGGAUGUUGGCUUAGAAGCAGCCACCAUUUAAAGAGUGCGUAAUAGCUCACUAGUC
rnacentral:rRNA from 1 species